AACGCAUAUUGCACUCUCUGGUAUUCCGGGGAGUAUGCCUGUUUGAGGGUCAGUAAAUAAUAAUUAUCAUAAUCUUUUGAUUGUGGAAUUGGGUCUUUAUUUCAUUAAUGAUUUAUGGCCUCAAAUUUACGUUACCGCUUGUUUAAUAUGAAAUUCGACCGAAUGGGAGCAAUUAAACAUUCUCUCGUUAGGCGGAUUCAUCAAGCAAUUACGAUUUUUUGGCCGUCGAAGCACUUUUUUUAAAAGUGCUUGGUCAAGAUUGUAAGAUACAUUUAACAAUGACCUCAAAUCAGGCAAGAAUACCCGCUGAACUUAA
rnacentral:misc_RNA from 1 species